rnacentral:tRNA from 1 species
UCAUACUUAGCUCAGUCGGUAAAGAAUCUGCCUGCAAUGCAGGAGACCUAGGUUCAAUUUCUGGGUUGGGAA